CCAAAUAACAGACUGUCAAUACCAAAAACAAUUUACAUAAAUAUUUUUUGUUUAAUAGAUGAAGUAAUCUUGUGAUAUGAACAACCCGCUAAAUGCAUUUAAAAUAAGAGGUAUUGGGUUUUUGAAACCAGAGUAAUUGCCAAUCCAUUAACAUUCACUGUGGAAUCUAGAAAUAACGUCUGAGUUAAAGUUAAGCAUAAUUUUCUAAAAAAGAAAACACAAUUACCAUAUGCUCAUCUGCCCAGACUGGGAGAACAGAUGGCAGCUCUUUCCAUAUUACAUUAGCCAUAUUAUGAGUUAGAAAAACUUGAGCAAUUUCAAUUCACAGUGGAUAAAAAUAUAAAAUGUUUAAUCUUAUUCGAUAUAACAUUUAUUUAAUGUUCUUUUUGAUUAAACUUCUAUACUUUUCUAAAUUCGGUUUGGCAACUAGUAAUUUCAAGUUAAAAUUUACUGUGGACUGUUCAGCCUGUAUGUGCCCUGCUUGGACUUAGCCCAUUUAAAGUUCACCUUUCUCAAAAUCUGAUUACUUGGGAGCUUUUCAGUCCUAUACACUAGAGGAUUUGGAUCAGGAACUCUUUAGAUACUAGAGACUCCUGGGAACUGUCUUAAAUACUUGGCUGCCUAAAAUGCUCAUCCUUUAGGAGUGAGAAUAACAUGAUAUGUGUUUCAGAACAAAACAAAACAAACUAUAACCCAUGAGGCAUCUAACCUAAUCAUUUCAUCCAACCAGUAAACGGUUAAUGAUUGCAUUACUACUUACACGCAUAAGGCAAAGUGUUAGAUAUUGUAGACAAACUAUCAAAUACAUAUAAUCAGAGAAACAAACAGUAAAAAUGAGAGUAUAGUGGGAUGUGCAAGGACAUGCAUCCAAGGAGUAAAAAAACCACGGACGGAAAACCAGUUCACCUUAAAGAGGUUCCUGAGAAAGCAGUUAGCUCAGAGGUGGGGAGACUUGAGUUGAUGAGGCAAGAGUAGUUAUAAUGCUGAGGUGGAGGAGACGUUUGGCAUAGCAAAUAAUGCUUUUUAGGAAUUUCAAUUACAGAAGCUCUUUUGCUCAUGAAUUUUCAGAGAUACAAACAGCUAUGUACCAGAGCAAAACAGAUCAACUUUGCUUGCUACUAACAGAUGUCUGUGUCACUUGUACGUGUCACUUUGGACUCAAGCUGCCUUUCCUGCUGGUGCCUGAACGUCUUCUUAGCUCCAUUUCACGCUGUUCUUGCUGAAGCUGCAGAAGAUGCCUUCUUGCAGCAUCUUGUCACACAGAUAUGUUUAAAACACAAUUUAAAAAAUUAUACUCCACUAAAGAUGAUUUACCCAGCAUUGUGUUGCAAGGCAUUUCUGCCCACCGUAAAAGGUACCUUAGAUCUUGUAUUACUUCUGAAUAAUCAGAGCAAGUUAUAUUAUACUCAGUAUAGCUUUAGAAUUACAGUUUACUACAUGCCAAUUUUUUGAAAAAUGUAUUAUAAUUUCUUUUUAUUAGCUUAAACAUUUGCUUAAUGGAAAUAGCAGAGCUGGGUAAUACUAUACAAAGUGAAACUGUAUAUAAUUAUAUAUAAUUUCAUAAUAAUGACAGAAAUAAAAAUUAUUAAAAUAA